ACUCUUCUGCAGAGUCAGAGCACAUGCUUGCUCAUAACUGGGGCCGCUGGAUCCUACCGGCAGCGCCUUACCGCCAGCAAUGAGG
rnacentral:snoRNA from 1 species